rnacentral:rRNA from 1 species
AUUGAACGCUGGCGGCAGGCCUAACACAUGCAAGUCGAACGGUAACAGGAAGCAGCUUGCUGCUUCGCUGACGAGUGGCGGACGGGUGAGUAAUGUCUGGGAAACUGCCUGAUGGAGGGGGAUAACGACUGGAAACGGUAGCUAAUACCGCAUAACGUCGCAAGACCAAAGAGGGGGACCUUAGGGCCUCUUGCCUUCGGAUGUGCCCAGAUGGGAUUAGCUAGUAGGUGGGGUAACGGCUCACCUAGGCGACGAUCCCUAGCUGGUCUGAGAGGAUGACCAGCCACACUGGAACUGAGACACGGUCCAGACUCCUACGGGAGGCAGCAGUGGGGAAUAUUGCACAAUGGGCGCAAGCCUGAUGCAGCCAUGCCGCGUGUAUGAAGAAGGCCUUCGGGUUGUAAAGUACUUUCAGCGGGGAGGAAGGGAGUAAAGUUAAUACCUUUGCUCAUUGACGUUACCCGCAGAAGAAGCACCGGCUAACUCCGUG